rnacentral:misc_RNA from 1 species
UGGUGGUGCGCAGUCUCAGUGACAUGGGCAGAUAUCACACGAGUUAGCCACCGCUCAUAACGUUCCUAUCAUCAUCAAAAAGAAGACAGAAGUGAGAGCUAAACUGGUGGGUCGUUACUGCGUCUGCGCGGCAUGGCCCUAAUCUAGGAUUAUGGAGGCUUAUCUAAACUCGCUGUUUAUAAAGUAUGUUUUCGGUGGGAAAUUAGCUAGUCGUGGAUGGCACGACUGGAGCGACGUAUCGACGGUGGUGCUGCGAGGCCGAGAGUAGUGUCGUGCUGAGGACGCCUUCCGCGACGACCUGGCUGAGCGGUGGUCGUAACGGGGCUUACGGCUUAGCACGUGGCAGUGACUUUAAUCGGUGGCGGACCCCAACCUUGGUGCCGCCUCAGUAUCUUCCCGCCGCCCCCGGUGACCAUGUCUGGCUCUCCCGGCGUGGCACUCUGGCUGUCCCGGUGCCGCCUCGAGUAGUCAACUCUUCGCUGCCGCCUCCGCCAGCCGUCGCUGAAACCACCUAAGUUGGGAGUUUUGAAGCAACACUGCCAGCGGCCGCCCUCGUGCAGGGAGGGAGGUGGAGGGGAGCUGACCGCCCCGCCGUGACCACUAACCUGACCUGAUCUGGCCUCAGCGAUGGACUUUCAGAGCGCCAUGGAAACGUUUGCUGAAGCGUGGAUGGCGGCCAACACCAAGUCUCGCCCAGGCUCCUCCGACCACCAGCGGGAGGGGAGCGCCGAGCGGACCAAUGGGCGGCCGGAGGAGGUGACACCCCGGGAGUCAGCCGCUCAUCUGACCAAUGGGGACUCACCGAACAGACAGUCUCCCGUCUUAUUGGCUCGAGACUCCGAAGUGAGCCCCAAGCCCCUGUGUGUGGGCAAGAACAUUCCCUUACACGUGGUGGUGGAGACGGUGCCUCUGUGUGGGGUGGGCGUCGAGGACCUGCGUGGCCGUAUCGACAUGGACAGCUACGCCCUCAUCCCCGCCCACACCCGCUUCACGGACCUUCUGCAGGCCGCCCUUGUCAAGCUAGGCUACUCAGAGGAACUCACACAGGCAAGAGGUUUGCUUCAGCUGAGGAACUGGCGCCCGCUGCCCCUAGAGACCAUCCCGGAGACGGAGGACAAGACAGUGGCGGAGGUGCUGUGUGACGUGGCGCCCCUCGCUACCCUCCAUGUCCGCAUCUACAGCAGUCCGUGGAAGGUGCGCUGUGCAAGAGACAUCAAGGACCGUCUUCUGCGCCUCCUCCUACAGCAGUCCCAUCAUCUCCUGGUCUCUGCCGGCUGCCCGCUUGACGAAAGUCUGCUGACGGCACUGAUUCGAGGCUCCGGGGAGGUGAGCGAGGAGUCGGCCCGCCAGUUUGAAGCUUGGUGGGCUGUGCAUGUGUCCCGCCCCCCCACCGCCGCCCACGUCAUGACACCACCGCACCACGUUCACGCCCGCCCACAUCCACUCGAGAAACUACCACCGGAGCCUCUGCAUCCAGCCAUUCAGACGGUGGGCAGCCAGUACGGCCCGCAGAAGACCAGGAUGAGGACGAGCUUUGACCCUGAGCUGGAGUUGCCGAGGCUGCAGCGAUGGUUUGCAGAGAAUCAGCACCCAACCCGCCUUCAGAUCCAGCAGUACGUGGCGGAACUCAACGCUCUGGAGUCUCGCCGGGGCCGCAAGCCGCUGGACAUCAGCAACGUGGUGUACUGGUUCAAGAACGCGCGGGCUGCCUACAAGCGGCAGGAGUUCCGCACCUUCAAUGGCCUCAAGUCGCCGCCGCCGCAGGACGAGACGAGCGUCAGUGAUAACGAGGACGCCACCGCUGCUUCCACAGCCUCUGCCGACCCUUACCCCGGCCCGCCCCCCUCACACCACCCCGCGGGGCCCUCUCCGCCCCCAACCACCACCCAUGAUCACCCACAUUCCCACCAGUCACAACAGCAGCAGCAGCAACAACAACAACAACAACAACAACAGCAACAGCAACAGCAGCAACAACAGCAGCAGCAACAGCAGCAACAACAACAAUCUCAACAGGAAGAAAAUCAGGAGGAUGACGAGUCUCGGCCGCCCGGCUCGGAUCCGCCUGAGAGCUUGCAGGGACGCAGCCAGACGGCGGGAGGGAGUUCCGGUGGCCAGAACUCUGGCGGUGAACGAUGCCAGGGCGAGAGUGACGUUGACAUGAGUGAGGACGAAGACGAAGUACGUUCACGAGACAGCGUCAGCGUCACUCUGGAGAGCAAGUGUUCCCCUCCCCCUGUGGUGUCUCCCGGCGCCCUAUCGUUGCCACCUUAUCCGCCACUCACGGGACUGGGCCAGGCAGGUAUGGAGCGCCUACCCUACCCUGUGGUGCCCGGCUCUCUGCUGCAGCAUUCCAUGAUGUAUAUGGCUCACUACAUGCCGCAGGUUUCGCCUUUCUCUGGUGGCCUCGGUAGCAGCGGACCGCCAGAGGAGAGGCGCAAAAGGAAUCGGACGUUCAUCGACCCGGUGACAGAGGUGCCGCGCCUGGAGCAGUGGUUCGCCAUCAACACUCACCCCAGCCACAACCUCAUCCUCAAGUACACCGAAGAGCUCAACCGCAUGCCCUACCGCCAAAAGUUCCCGAAACUCGAGCCGAAAAAUGUUCAGUUUUGGUUUAAAAAUCGACGUGCCAAGUGCAAGAGGCUGCGAGUGUCCAUGUGAGGCGCGCCGUGGUAGACUCCGCUACGAGGCACAACACGCGGAGUUACUCGAUUGAUGGAGUGACUUGGGGUGGCAGCCUCUCGUGGGGCUGAAAUUACGGGUCGCAGCAACUUGAAGGUCACCUCUCCUCCCCAGGCUGAGGGCCUCGCCACCCCUGGACGCCCGUGUGCAGAGGCAGGCCGUGCGCCGCUGGGAUGUGUUAAAAACUGUUGAUGCGAUAAAGUGACAGUCAGCGUGGCUUAUGAGUAACAACGCUUGUGUCAAAACUUAUCUUCGUUCAUGAUGCCAAAAUUACAUCCGGUGGAAAAUACUUGUUAUUAUAUUAAAUACUAUAUUUGUCAUUAUUGAAGUGGAAUUAGUGCAAUACUCUACUCUGGAAAGAAAAAAAAUGUUUAGUGGGUUCUGCUAAGGUUUCCCUUUGGCGUGUCUUGACUAUCCAUCAAGACCUCAGUGGUGAAGCAGUGGGUGGUUGUGGCGGCGGAUUGAGCAGCGGCGUGCCAGGCCUCAGCAGGCUCCACCAGCACCGCCACUUCUAUGGACAGUACUUAGCGGCCUGCUGCCUCUUGGACAGCUGACUCAUGGGACAACCACACCAGAAUUUGCUAAUUAAUUUUGUUUGGAAUAAGAGAAGUGUCUGUUCAUCGUGAACACAUUACUAUGUAUAUUGGUUUGGUGGCGCUUCUAUAAUAACGUUGAUCAUUUCAAAUUAGAAAAAUACAAUUGUGGUGCAGAUCGUGAAAAUAUGUAAUGCAUAUACACAUUAAUAGCAGACAAAUCUGGCAACUAGUAAGCCUCGCUAAGCUCUUAUCCUAUGUUCAUGUAAAACUUAAAGGUUCUAGUAUGGUUUUGUUUUACGUGGCGUGAUGUUUCUGUCCCGAGUGUUGCAGCCGCUGCCUCACCGCUGCCAAGUCUGCCGCUGCUGUCGCUGACAUGGACCCCUCUGGAUAUACUCAUUUCCUUUCCCGUGUCCUCAGGACAGUAAAGGAAACAAUCGGCAAAGCUGUUACAAAAGUAACUUUGUGCUGUGUUUUGUUCAAUUCGUGCAAGAUUGUUGCUAAUACGUGUAGGAUAUAUAUAUAUAUAUAUAUAUAUAUAUAUAUAUAUAUAUAUAUAUAUAUAUAUAUAUAUAUAUAUAUAUAUAUAUAUAUUGAUGAUGAAACAGAUGUGGUGUGGCCUCGGCGGGGCGAGUGAGCGCCUUUGGCGUGACAUGAGGGCUGCUUCGCCUCCCUGAGCUCAACGAUAUUGGAUAAAGAAAAUGGAGAAAAUUUUUUUUUUUUUUUUUUUCUCACCCAGCUUGCCUAAAGACCUGAGGUGACAGCAUUGCUGCGGCAGAUGCAGCGCGCCUCUCCUAAAACUGUGGUUGGUUCAUCGUAGCCGUUCAUUAUACUUCAUGAUAUUAAGGUACUUAGGAUUAUGUCUAUGUCUGUUCCCUGGAGAGUGUAUUAUUUAUUCAGUGUGUGCGUGUGCGUGUGAGCGUCACCGUGUCCGAGAUCUAGUCAAUAGGCGCCGCCACGCCCUACGGGGGCUGGGCGGCCGAGGGGCGCGGCUCUGAUCCCCCUGCGGGACACCACUUCCAGAUCCUCUAUGAAUUAAAUUAUAAAGGGAGUUACCGGUGCGUCUAACGUGCAAAUGUAAUAGACAUGUACAUUGAGAAAUACUCGUACAUAUAUUUGAUAUGUAUCAGUAUUUUUGUAUUUUGAACGGAAUUAUCCAGUUUGUUUGGAUUAGUCAUUACCUCUGCGUCAUGUUGCAGUUUGUCGUUCAGCGAAAACCUUCACUUCGUGUCGCCUCAUUACCAAUAGUCACCUCACACCAACUGGCGGCCCCGCGCUGCCAGUCCCGCCGCCAUGGUAGUGUCCCCUUUCCCCUCCACGUGUCUGGGCGCAACCCACGCCCCGGCACAGCCACGUAGAUAUGGACCGUUUCCCUCUGGUUCUUUGUGAUAUUUUAUUAUAUACAAUACUUGACAUGUAAAUAAGAUUGUUAUAUAUUUCAAUUUCUGUGUGUGUGUGUGUGUGUGUGUGUGUGUGUGUGUGUGUGUGUGUGUGUGUGUGUGUGUGUGUGUGUGUGUGUGUGUGUGUGUGUGUGUGUGUGUCGGUUUGAAUCCCCACUCUCCCUCACACUUUUAAAACCUCAUGUGUUUCUGUUAGACAAGGAGUCCAGUCAGUGUUGUGUUUGGAUUCUGUAUAUAUCCCGUGUUUUGUACGUUGAAUGUUUACUAGAGAGCGUUCGUGUAAAGACAUUCUAGGGGAUAAAGAAAAAAAACGAAGCAAAAAAAAAAAUCAAUCAAGAAGGGAAGUCGGUGAGUCUCCCAUCACUUAGAUCUCAUUUUCUUUCACCAACCAGUCAGUCUCUCUCUCUCUCUCUCUCUCUCUCUCUCUCUCUCUGGAUGCGCUCACUGUGUUGUACUGUACAUAAUGUUAAUACAAUGUUGUCAUGGGGUGAAAAAAAUGUAGUGUUUGCUAGCUGUCUCCCCCUCAUUCUUCCCCGAUCCCCUUCCCCUUAUCCCCAGCCCUUCCUUGCCUUGUCUUCGUUCCUCUUCUCCCCGUUUAUCUCACUCUUGUUCCUUCACUCACUCCCUCAUAUUAUGUCACUCAAAAUACAUGCUUCCACCCACGUCUCUCUCUCUCUCUCUCUCUCUCUCUCUCUCUCUCUCUCUCUCUCUCUCUCUCUCUCUCUCAUUAUCUACCUCAUCACUCAUUUCUUUAGCAUCCCAUCAUCCCAUAUUCUCUCUCUCUCUCUCUCUCUCUCUCUCUCUCUCUCUCUCUCUCUCUCUCUCUCUCUCUCUCAUAUCUUCAAUCUCUUAUCUCUUCUCUUUUUCCCCUUACUAAUGUUUCUGACCAUUAGAUUUUAGACCACUUCCCUCCCUUUUCCACUUACCUCAACUCCCUUCCUCCUCCCUUACCCCUGGACGCACUCUCCCUCCUCCCUCCUCCACCUCCCCUACCAUAACCCGCCAUAGAGUAACCCAUCUGGAGGGGUGAGUAAGAUGUACUGAUUCAAGUGUUGUUCAUAAUAAAAUAUGUCACUUCA